GAACGAACGCUGGCGGCAGGCUUAACACAUGCAAGUCGAACGGGCCCUUCGGGGUCAGUGGCAGACGGGUGAGUAACGCGUGGGAACGUGCCCUUCAGUUCGGAAUAACCCAGGGAAACUUGGGCUAAUACCGGAUACGUGCGAGAGCAGAAAGAUUUAUCGCUGAAGGAUCGGCCCGCGUCUGAUUAGCUAGUUGGUAGGGUAAUGGCCUACCAAGGCGACGAUCAGUAGCUGGUCUGAGAGGAUGAUCAGCCACAUUGGGACUGAGACACGGCCCAAACUCCUACGGGAGGCAGCAGUGGGGAAUAUUGGACAAUGGGCGCAAGCCUGAUCCAGCCAUGCCGCGUGAGUGAUGAAGGCCUUAGGGUUGUAAAGCUCUUUCGUCCGGGACGAUAAUGACGGUACCGGAAGAAGAAGCCCCGGCUAACUUCGUGCCAGCAGCCGCGGUAAUACGAAGGGGGCUAGCGUUGUUCGGAAUCACUGGGCGUAAAGGGCGCGUAGGCGGCUUUGUAAGUCGGGGGUGAAAGCCUGUGGCUCAACCACAGAAUUGCCUUCGAUACUGCAUGGCUUGAGACCGGAAGAGGUAAGUGGAACUGCGAGUGUAGAGGUGAAAUUCGUAGAUAUUCGCAAGAACACCAGUGGCGAAGGCGGCUUACUGGUCCGGUUCUGACGCUGAGGCGCGAAAGCGUGGGGAGCAAAC
rnacentral:rRNA from 1 species